GAAAAAGCCGAAUCAUUGAGUGAGCGGGGGAACCAUUUUAGGGGUGAAUUUUGUUUUAUUUUAUCUAUAUGGAUAGGUUAAAACAUCAUGGGUAUCUCUAUCCAAAUCCGUCAGCUAACCUCGUAGGCGUAGAGAGAGAA
rnacentral:sRNA from 1 species